GGGGAUUUAGCUCAGUGGUAGAGCGCUUCCUUGGAAGUGCAAGGCCCUGGGUUCGAUCCCCAGCUCCG
rnacentral:tRNA from 1 species